GACGAACGCUGGCGGCGUGCCUAAUACAUGCAAGUCGGGCGAAGUUUUUCUGGUGCUUGCACUAGAAAAACUUAGCGGCGAACGGGUGAGUAACACGUAAAGAACCUGCCUCAUAGACUGGGACAACUAUUGGAAACGAUAGCUAAUACCGGAUAACAGUAUUUCUCGCAUGAGAGAUAUUUAAAAGUUGGUUAUGCUAACACUAUGAGAUGGCUUUGCGGUGCAUUAGCUAGUUGGUGGGGUAAAGGCCCACCAAGGCGACGAUGCAUAGCCGACCUGAGAGGGUGAUCGGCCACACUGGGACUGAGACACGGCCCAGACUCCUACGGGAGGCAGCAGUAGGGAAUCUUCCGCAAUGGGCGAAAGCCUGACGGAGCAACGCCGCGUGAGUGAAGAAGGAUUUCGGUUCGUAAAGCUCUGUUGUUAGGGAAGAAUGGAUAUGUAGUAACUAUACAUGUAAGAGACGGUACCUAACCAGAAAGCCACGGCUAACUACGUG
rnacentral:rRNA from 1 species